rnacentral:sRNA from 1 species
AGCUGAGCAUGAAAAAGGCCAAAGCAUACUGCGACCGGCACCUAUGUAGAAAGAACGACAAAAGUACAUCAAGACCGCCAUGAUAGCUGCUGGAAUGAGGAGCCAAUAGUUGGCGAUUGCCACGAUGACCAAGACAGCCACCACAUCUACAAAGAACUGUAGCAAAUGGAGUCCAUCAUAGCCU